rnacentral:rRNA from 1 species
GACGAACGCUGGCGGCGUGCUUAACACAUGCAAGUCGAACGGAAAGGCCCUGCUUGCAGGGUACUCGAGUGGCGAACGGGUGAGUAACACGUGGGUGAUCUGCCCUGCACUUCGGGAUAAGCCUGGGAAACUGGGUCUAAUACCGGAUAGGAGCCAUUUUUAGUGUGAUGGUUGGAAAGUUUUUUCGGUGUAGGAUGAGCUCGCGGCCUAUCAGCUUGUUGGUGGGGUAAUGGCCUACCAAGGCGGCGACGGGUAGCCGGCCUGAGAGGGUGGACGGCCACAUUGGGACUGAGAGACGGCCCAGACGCCGACGGGAGGCAGCAGUGGGGAAUAUUGCACAAUGGGCGCAAGCCUGAUGCAGCGACGCCGCGGGGGGGAGGACGGCCUUCGGGUUGUAAACUCCUUUCGCUAGGGACGAAGCUUUUUGUGACGGUACCUAGAUAAGAAGCACCGGCUAACUACGUG